rnacentral:rRNA from 1 species
UACGUAGGGUGCAAGCGUUGUCCGGAAUUAUUGGGCGUAAAGAGCGUGUAGGCGGCCCCGUUAGUCCGCUGUGAAAGUCCAGGGCUCAACCCUGGAAUGCCGGUGGAUACUGUGGGGCUAGAGUCCGGAAGGGGCGAGUGGAAUUCCUGGUGUAGCGGUGAAAUGCGCAGAUAUCAGGAGGAACACCAAUGGCGAAGGCAGCUCGCUGGGACGUGACUGACGCUGAGGCGCGAAAGCGUGGGGAGCAAACAGG